rnacentral:lncRNA from 1 species
AAACAUAGUCAUCAACUAAUACAUGUGCUAGUCUAAUAUUCAUGUGUGUCCUCACAUGAACUCCGACUAGGGACAACUUUAGAAUAACCAUACAAGUAAAGAGUUUCACAUACAAUUCACAUAAUUGCAAAUCAAUUCAAGUAGCCUUGAAUGGAUAUUCAAUGAACACAAUAUACAAAUCAUGGAUACAAAUGGAAUAUCAUCAUCUCUAUGAUUGCCUCUAGGGCAUACCUCCAACAGUCUCCCACUUGCACUAGAGUCAAUCUAGAAGGUACCUAAUACCCAUAGCUCUUACAUGCGCAUCAUGCUUAGCCUGCAGGAGUGGUUUUGUCAACGGAUCAGAAAUGUUCAGAUCCGUGUGUAUUUUGCAUAUCUUGAUCUCACCCCGGUUAACGAAGUCUCGAAUGAGAUGAAAUCGCCGCAUUACGUGUUUGUUCUUCUGGUGGUUCCUUGGUUCCUUUGCUUGCGCAAUUGCCCCAUUGUUAUCACAGUAGAGAUUCAAUGGGCUGGACGCAUUCGGGAACACACCAAGCUCAAUGAGGAAAUUCCUUAUCCAAACACCUUCCUUCGCGGCUUCCGAAGCCGCGAUGUACUCGGCUUCUGUCGUAGAAUCGGCCACCGUCUCCUGCUUGGAACUCUUCCAACUAACAGCACCACCAUUCAGUGUGAACACAAAUCCUGAUUGUGACUUUGAAUCAUCUCUGUCGGUUUGGAAACUAGCAUCGGUGUAACCUGUUACAACGAGCUCCUCCUCACCUCCAUAGACGAGGAACAUAUCUUUAGUCCUUCUCAAGUACUUAAGAAUGUUUUUCACCGCUGUCCAGUGAUUCUCACCUGGAUCAGAUUGGUGUCUGCUUGUCAUACUUAGCGCAUAUGAAACAUCUGGGCGAGUACUUAUCAUUGCAUACAUGAUAGAUCCAAUAGCCGAGGCAUAUGGCACUCUACUCAUGCGAUCCUGCUCAUCAGCAGUCGUAGGACACUGAGUCUUGCUGAGAUGUAUGCCAUGUGACAUAGGCAAGAACCCUUUCUUUGCCUCUUCCAUGCUGAACCGCUUCAACACUUUGUCAAUGUAAGUGUCUUGGCUUAAACCUAUAAGCCUUCUCGAUCUAUCUCUAUAGAUCUUAAUGCCCAGAAUAUAUGCCGCUUCUCCUAAGUCCUUCAUCGAAAAACUAUUUUUCAGUGAAGUCUUUACGAACUCAAGCAUAGGAAUGUUAUUUCCAAUCAGUAAUAUGUCAUCCACAUAUAAGAUUAGAAAUACUACAGAGCUCCCACUAACCUUCUUGUAAACACAAGACUCUUCUUCGUUCUUGGUGAAGUCAAACCCUUUGACCACUUCAUCAAAACGAAUGUUCCAACUCCUAGAUGCUUGCUUCAAUCCAUAAAUGGAUCUCUGAAGCUUGCAUACCUUUCCAGCAUUUUUAGGAUCGACAAAACCCUCGGGCUGUAUCAUAUACACGUCCUCAGCUAGGUUUCCAUUCAGGAAAGCUGUCUUGACAUCCAUCUGCCAUAUCUCAUAAUCGAAAUAUGCAGCUAUAGCUAGAAUAAUCCGAAUGGACUUAAGCAUCACUACGGGCGAGAAGGUCUCGUCGUAGUCAACUCCUUGAACUUGUCGAAAACCUUUUGCGACAAGUCUUAUAGAUGUGAACAUUUCCAUCCAUGUCCUUUUUCUUCUUAUAGAUCCACUUGCACUCUAUGGCUUUAACACCAUCAGGCGGGUCAACCAAGUUCCAAACUUGAUUGUCUCCCAUGGACUCUAUUUCGGAUUGCAUGGCACUCUGCCAUUUUUCGGAGUCUGGGUCCAUCAUUGCUUCUGCAUAUGUCGCAGGCUCAUCAUUGUCCAACAAUAAUAUUUCCCGCAUUUCGCGGAGCCUUGCUGACCUUCGUGGUUGUGGCGGUGCUUCUCUUGCCAUGGGUAUCUCAACUUGUUCUGCUACGUUAGCAUCACUCAUUGAUUCUUGCCCGAUCGGCUCAUCUUGAACUUCUUCAAGAUGCACUGUCUUUCCACUCUUUUCUCCUUUGAGAAACUCUUUCUCUAGGAAAACCCCGUUACGAGCGACAAACACUUUGCCUUCUGAUCGGUUGUAGAAAUAAUAUCCCAAAGUUUCCUUUGGAUAUCCCACGAAAAUGCACUUAUCCGACUUGGGUCUGAUCUUGUCCGACUGAAGUCGCUUGACAAACACUUCACAUCCCCAAAUCUUUAGAAAAGAAAAACUAGGAACCUUUCCAGUCCAUAUCUCAUAUGGUGUCUUAACUACGGAUUUAGAUGGUACCCUAUUAAGUGUGAAAGCUGUUGUUUCGAGAGCGUAUCCCCAAAAUGACAACGGUAGGUCCGACUGGCUCAUCAUUGAUCGAACCAUGUCUAACAAAGUUCGAUUACGUCACUCGGACACACCGUUUCUCUGAGGUGUUCCAGGCGGCGUAAGUUGUGGAACAAUUCCGCAACUCUUUAGAUGAUUGCUAAACUCGUGGCUCAAAUACUCGCCUCCACGAUCAGAUCGUAAUGCCUUGAUUUUCUUGCCCCGCUGAUUUUCAACUUCAUUCUGAAAUUCCUUGAACUUUUCAAAGGUUUCAGACUUGUGCCUCAUCAAGUAGACAUAGCCAUAUCUACUAAAAUCAUCAGUGAAAGUUAUGAAGUAUUGGAAUCCUCCUCUAGCCGUCGUGCUCAUUGGUCCGCAUACAUCACUAUGUACGAGUUCCAAGAAGUCUACUGCUCUCUCAGGAAAUCCUGUGAAAGGCGUCUUGGUCAUCUUGCCUAGCAAGCAAGCCUCACAUGUCUCGUAUGAUUCAAAAUCAAACGAAGUUAGAAGUCCAUCAGAAUGGAGCUUCUUCAUGUGUUUUUCACUUAUAUGACCCAAACGACAAUGCCACAAGUAGGUAGGACUCAAAUCAUUAGGCUGAGGCCUUUUAGCACUUACAUUACAGACAAGUGAACCAUCAAGAUUUAAAACAAAUAAUCAAUUCACAAUGGGUGCAAAAGCCAUAAACAUAUUAUUCUUAGAGAUCAAACAACCAUUGUUUUCACUCGCAAAUGAAUAACCAUCCUUCAUCAAGCAUGAAGGAGACAAAAUGUUUCGACUUAAACUAGGAACGAAAUAACAAUUAUUCAACUCCAUAAUAAAUCCUGACGGGAGGUGGAGUUGCAUCGUCCCAACGGUCAACGCAGCAACUCUUGCAUUAUUGCCCACGCGGAAAUCAACUUCUCCUCUUUCCACGCUUCUACUUCUUAUCAUUCCCUGCAUCGAAUUGCAAAUAUGAGCAACCGAUCUGGUAUCAAAUACCCAAGAAUUAAUAAUUGUAUCAGCGAGAAAUAUGUUGUCUAUAACAUUAACAACAAGCGUACCUGAGGUAGAAGUACUCUUACUUCCGCCAUUCUUCAACGAAGCUAGGUACUGCUUGUAGUUUCUCUUCCAGUGACCAAGUUCAUGACAGUAAAAGCACUCUUUGUCUGGAGCAGGUCCAGGUCCAGCUUUAACCUUGGGCGCUGGGUUUGGCUUGGACGUUCCAGCCUUGCCCUUCUUCUUCCAAGAAUUGCCCUUCUUCUUAAAGCUAGGCUUGUUCUGUAUAGCCAUCACAUGGUUGGUACUAGCGCUUUUCUUGAUGUCAGCCUCUGCUGUUUUAAGCAUGCCACACAGCUCAUUCAGACCCUUCUCCGUCCCAUGCAUAUGGUAGUUCGAGAUGAAGUUCCCAUAGCUAGGCGGAAGAUACGAAAGAAUGAAAUCAGUGGCCAACUCUUGGCCCAGUGGGAAGCCUAGCUUCUCCAACCGUUGAGUGUAACCAACCAUCUUGAUUACGUGUGGUCCUACUGCUGCGCCUUCUGCUAGCUUGCUCUCAACAAAGGCCUUAGACACAUUGAACCUUUCAGUCCUAGCCUGUGUUUGGAACAUGUCUCUAAGUGCCACGAUCAUAUCGUGCGCCUCAUGGUUUGUUUCGAACUGCAUCUGCAGCUCGGUUCCAUGCAAGCAAGCAUAAGGCAGCUUACUUCAAGGUUAGCAUCACAUGCUUUCUUGUAAGCAUUCUUAGCAGCAGCGGGUGCAUCAUCAGCAGGUUCUUCUAGUAGUGGGUUGUCUAGAACAUCUUCCUUUUUCUCAGCCCUGAGAACAAUUCUCAGGUUACGGAUCCAAUCCGAGUAAUUUGUUCCAUUCAACUUGUCCUUCUUAAGGACCGAACGCAAAGCAAACGGUGUAGUGCUGCUAGGUGCCAUUUAAUCUACAACAAAGUAAUGCAAAAUACACUAAGACAAACGUAUCCAUGAUAGAGCAAAUCACAUUAAACUAUUUUAACAGAAUCUACUCCCACUAAAAUCAAUAUCCCUCUAUUGAAACUUAGUGAUUCAGGAUCCACAACUAACAAGUCCACUAGUGAGCUUUAGCAUCACCGCUAGCAAACAAGGUAGAUCGGUAAGCAACUUUUGCUAAUCAUAUCACAUAUGACUCCUGUUGUUGGGUGACAUCUCUAUGUCUCGGCGCCCAACCUUUAUGCCCCAAGGUCCUUAACCGUUAAGAUAACCUUGUUUAAGCAAACCAACCCUUAUGCGCGUAAGUGUCCGACACAAACCCGUCUAGUCAAGGAAAACUAGUGGCACCCUAAUUUCAUAGACCCACCACUAAUUGUACAAGACAUGGGACGGUGCAAGUUUUAGUUGGGAGGGCAUACUAACUUAAACUUUGUGAGGGAUCGUUCUACUUAUAACAUCACGGCAUGCAGAAAGUAAAACAUAAACAGAAUAGCAUUCACACAGUUGUAACACAGUAUGGCCCGUUUUCAUAUGGUGAUCUCCAUCUCCAUAGAACCUGUUCACCAUGGUGAUCUCCAUCUCCAUGUUCCAUGUGCGCCAUCCUCCUGGUGAUGAGUCCUCCAAGAACUAUAACAUGCUAUUACGCCUAAUAGCUAGUAAAGAAGCUAGUAAUGAAGAUUACAUAGUUGCUUGGAUCAUCACAGAUUGGUACGCAGACCAUUAAGUACAUUAAGGUGACAACACAUAUGGCUCCUGCCGUGUUGCCGUACGCGCGACACGCAGGUCACGAAUGAGUUACACACAUGCAUCACAUACACAAGGGGGCCAUACUGAUCACAAGAUACAUACAUCCUGCAAAACAGAGUUAAGCGUCCUAACGUUCCAAACUUCGGAGUCUUGAAACUCCAUCUUCCAAGUCGAAUUUGCGAAAUCUAAUUUCGCCAAAAAUGGCAAAGCCAUUGAAUUUCAUGUCUAACUUUUUCUGUAGAUCAAUUUUCAUAUAAAAUUUGCCCCAAUCCAAGAUCGUACUGAAAAGUUACGGCUGAUUUACCGAAGCAUAUGCAUAUGGCAAAAAUCCCGACCCCGGCAGUAGAUCUCAUCUACUAUUGCACAUCUAAUGCGCCUGGCGUAUGACCCUGGAUUUCGAUUCGACCAAUCAUAUUGAUCUUCGCUCACUGCAACUGGAUUUACGUGUAUCACUUAACUCCGAUGGCGGAAACCGACUGGUAGGAGUAUGUCGUUACACUACCAUUGCAGCAAGGGCACGAAACCAGGACAUAGAUCAAACUGAAAACUCGCAUAUCUCCAUAUGCACACAUCCCGAAUCCAAAACUAAGCAGCUACGGCUCUGAUACCACUGUUGGGAUACGAGGUAGGCUACACUAGCGCAAUUCAAAAAAUCUACCGCGUAUAACCAGGAAGAACUGUCGUAUAAGGAUCACGGGAUUACCACUCGAUGCACUACUGGUGCGGAAGAUGUAGAUAUGCGUCGAUGCAGUGAAGACGAUCACGUAGUCGUACGUAGUCAAUCAACAUAGUCGAUCACGUCACGUCCAUCAGCUCCUCAGCAGCUCGUCCACGUGCAGCAAGAUCGCCUCCGGUGCCGCGGCUCGUCGUCGGCUCGUCGUGGCUCGUCGGCGGCUCGUCCAAGUGCUGCAGGCGCAACACCUCCAAGGUAUCCACACGUGCAGGGAGGAAGCGUCGCAAGCCGGACUGCUAGAUCCACGAGUUGCAACAGGCGAGGGCGUUGGAGGCGCGGCAGGUGUGUUUCGCCAAAAAGGUGUGAACCCUAGGGCGCCCCCACCCCUCUAUUUAUAGAGGUUCCUGACGGGCCUCUGGGUCCGAGGCCCAUUAGUACUUCUAAACCUAAUCCAACUUGGAUCAGAUCCGAAUUGGGCUUCCAGCCCCUUAAGUGUGUGACCCUAUGGGUUCGGAUACGUAUAGACAUGGCCUGAGUACUCCUACUCGGCCCAAUAGUCGGUAGCGGUUUCUAGCAAGACGUGCCAACUCCUAUACGCACACGAAGAUCAUAUCAGACGAACCAUCACAACAUAAUAUACAUGCUAUUCCCUUUGCCUCACGAUAUUUGGUCUAGCUUCAAGCCGACCGCUCUUUCUCGAUCCUGUGAUUCGGAAUCCCUUUGUAGGUUAACUCUUAACCGUACGUAGCAUGGCCAUGCAUUUUCGGAUCCGAUCACUCGAGGGGCCCAGAGAUAUCACUCUCAAUCAGAGAGGGGCAAAUCCCAUCUUGAUUGACCAUGUCUCAUAGCAUGCUUCUUGACAAACCCGAAAGCUACCUUUAUAACUACCCUGUUACGGCGUAGCGUUUGAUAGCCCCUAAGUAGGUCGAUCCACAUCUAGAAUACAUGCGACAAUCUCAGGUCUAAGGACAAAGCGUAUAUGUUGUUUAAAGAGAGAACUACUUCUCGUGUUGGGUCAGUCCUAGCACAUGUCUCCACAUGUGUCCACAUUAUUAGUUCAACAUCUCCAUGUCCAUGACUUGUGAAACAUAGUCAUCAACUAAUACAUGUGCUAGUCUAAUAUUCAUGUGUGUCCUCACAUGAACUCCGACUAGGGACAACUUUAGAAUAACCAUACAAGUAAAGAGUUUCACAUACAAUUCACAUAAUUGCAAAUCAAUUCAAGUAGCCUUGAAUGGAUAUUCAAUGAACACAAUAUACAAAUCAUGGAUACAAAUGGAAUAUCAUCAUCUCUAUGAUUGCCUCUAGGGCAUACCUCCAACACCCUUUGCCCUAGGGCGCAGCCCGCUGCUCUUCCCCCGCCGCCUCACGGCACUCCCCUGCCGCCGCCGCCCUGGGCCGUGCGCCAGCCAAGCGCUACUUCCCGUGCUUGUGUUCUGUUCUAUGUGCGUGAAGGGUGUGUUAGGGGAGAAGAAGAAAAAGUGAUAGGGGGUUAUGAGGAAAUUUUAGGGACCUAUAUGCAGGAAUCAAAAGAUUUGAGGGUGGUUUUGAAAGAUGCUCUCGGUUUUGUUUUAUUUCCUAGAUUUAAAUAGCUGCAAACUUAGAAAAUGCAUAGAAAUGGGUAGAAAAAUGCUAAAAAUGUGAAUUUUGUUCUGUUGAGUUCCUAAUGACAUCUAUUUUAUUUAAAAAAUGUUUUUGUCUGUGUUACUAUUUUGUGUUUGGUGCUAUGAUUUAUUUGGUCUAAAGGACAUUAAAUGCUUUAUAAACAAUAUGGUGGUCCAAAAUUUGUGAAACCAAUUUUGAUCGCUUCCAUUUAACAUGUAUGUUCUAGAUCUGCAACUUGUGUAUGUAGAAUCUAUGGUGUUAAUACUGUUUCAAAUCCAAAUGCUUAAUUGCUCUCUUAAUAUUGUUAUUUGCAUGAUAAUUAGUGAAAAAUUGAUAAAAAUGCAAAAUAAGUUUGGUUAGAUUCUUGAUACUCGUGCGUGACUAGUAAAAAUAUUUAUCCUUGUGAAAUAUGUAUUUUUAGUUGCUUAACAAAAUGCAUGUUGUUUAAUCUCCUUAUUGUGGAAUAAAUAGUUCUCAUGCUCCUAAAAUCC